CCAGGUAUAGUGUAGUUUGGCUAACACGUUUGCCUUCCAAGCAAAUAUCGUGAGUUCGAGUCUCACUACCUGGUCCA
rnacentral:tRNA from 1 species